rnacentral:rRNA from 1 species
UGGAUCCAGACUUUGAUUAUGGCUCAGGAUGAACGCUAGCUACAGGCUUAACACAUGCAAGUCGAGGGGCAGCAUGGUCUUAGCUUGCUAAGGCCGAUGGCGACCGGCGCACGGGUGAGUAACACGUAUCCAACCUGCCGUCUACUCUUGGACAGCCUUCUGAAAGGAAGAUUAAUACAAGAUGGCAUCAUGAGUCCGCAUGUUCACAUGAUUAAAGGUAUUCCGGUAGACGAUGGGGAUGCGUUCCAUUAGAUAGUAGGCGGGGUAACGGCCCACCUAGUCUUCGAUGGAUAGGGGUUCUGAGAGGAAGGUCCCCCACAUUGGAACUGAGACACGGUCCAAACUCCUACGGGAGGCAGCAGUGAGGAAUAUUGGUCAAUGGGCGAGAGCCUGAACCAGCCAAGUAGCGUGAAGGAUGACUGCCCUAUGGGUUGUAAACUUCUUUUAUAAAGGAAUAAAGUCGGGUAUGCAUACCCGUUUGCAUGUACUUUAUGAAUAAGGAUCGGCUAACUCCGUGCCAGCAGCCGCGGUAAUACGGAGGAUUCGAGCGUUAUCCGGAUUUAUUGGGUUUAAAGGGAGCGUAGAUGGAUGUUUAAGUCAGUUGUGAAAGUUUGCGGCUCAACCGUAAAAUUGCAGUUGAUACUGGAUAUCUUGAGUGCAGUUGAGGCAGGCGGAAUUCGUGGUGUAGCGGUGAAAUGCUUAGAUAUCACGAAGAACUCCGAUUGCGAAGGCAGCCUGCUAAGCUGCAACUGACAUUGAGGCUCGAAAGUGUGGGUAUCAAACAGGAUUAGAUACCCUGGUAGUCCACACGGUAAACGAUGAAUACUCGCUGUUUGCGAUAUACAGCAAGCGGCCAAGCGAAAGCGUUAAGUAUUCCACCUGGGGAGUACGCCGGCAACGGUGCAACUCAAAUGAAUUGACGGA